rnacentral:pre_miRNA from 1 species
UUUUUUAAAACUUCUCUAUUUCCUCCUGUACGACGUUUCGGAGAUUGGUUGUCUCCUUCCUCAGGUCUACAAUGUUUAUGUUUAUCUCCGAAACGUCGUACAGGAGGAAAUAGAGAAGUUUUAAAA